AGCAUGGUGUGUGCAACGCCAGGGUUGUGGGUUCGAUUCCCACGGGGGGCCAGUACAAAAAAAAUGCAUGAAAUGUAUUCAUUCACUACUGUAAGUCGCUCUGGAUAAGAGCGUCUGCUAAAUGACUAAAAUGUAAAAAAAAAUGUAAAAAAUGUAGAGAGAGGUAGAGAGAGGGAGAGCGAGGUAGAGCAAGGUAGAGAGAGGGAGAGAGAGGUAGAGAGAGGUAGAGCAAGGUAGAGAGAGGGAGAGAGAGGUAGAGAGAGGUAGAGGUAGAGAGAGGGAGAGGUAGAGAGGUAGAGAGAGGGAGAGCGAGAAAGACAAUUAGACCCAACCAAAUCAUGAAAAAACAAAAAGAUAAUUUCUUGACACAUUGGAAAGAAUGAACAAAAAAACA
rnacentral:lncRNA from 1 species